rnacentral:rRNA from 1 species
UACGGAGGGGGCUAGCGUUGUUCGGAAUUACUGGGCGUAAAGCGCGCGUAGGCGGACCUGCAAGUCGGGGGUGAAAGCCCGAGGCUCAACCUCGGAACUGCCUUCGAUACUGCGGGUCUCGAGUCCGGGAGAGGUGAGUGGAAUUCCUAGUGUAGAGGUGAAAUUCGUAGAUAUUAGGAAGAACACCAGUGGCGAAGGCGGCUCACUGGCCCGGUACUGACACUCAGGUGCGACAGCGUGGGGAGCAAACAGG